rnacentral:rRNA from 1 species
GAUGAACGCUAGCGGCAGGCCUAAUACAUGCAAGUCGAACGGUGUAGCAAUACACAGUGGCGCACGGGUGCGUAACACGUAUGCAACCUACCUUACAUUGGGGGAUAGCCUUUCGAAAGGGAGAUUAAUACCGCAUAAGACAGUAACUAGGCAUCUAGUAGCUGUUAAGGAUUUAUCGAUGUAAGCUGGGCAUGCGUCCAAUUAGUUAGUUGGCGAGGUAAUGGCUCACCAAGACGAUGAUUGGUAGGGGAACUGAGAGGUCAAUCCCCCACACUGGCACUGAGAUACGGGCCAGACUCCUACGGGAGGCAGCAGUAGGGAAUAUUGGGCAAUGGGCGCAAGCCUGACCCAGCCAUGCCGCGUGCAGGAAGAAGGCGUUAUGCGUUGUAAACUGCUUUUAUACAGGAAGAAACGACCCUUGCGAGGGGCAUUGACGGUACUGUAUGAAUAAGCACCGGCUAACUCCGUGCCAGCAGCCGCCGCCGUAA